rnacentral:rRNA from 1 species
UACGUAGGGGGCUAGCGUUGUCCGGAAUCACUGGGCGUAAAGGGCGCGUAGGUGGCUUUGUAAGUUUGCGGUGAAAGCCCGGGGCUCAACCCCGGGUCUGCCCGUGGAUACUGCAAGGCUUGAGUACUGUAGAGGCAGGUAGAAUAUCGGGUGUAGCGGUGGAAUGCGUAGAGAUCCGAUAGAAGACCGGUGGCGAAGGCGGCCUGCUGGGCCAGUAACUGACACUGGAGGCGCGACAGCGUGGGGAGCAAACAGG